CUCCCACCCCGGCCCUGGCCCUGGGCCUGCCCUCACUGCCUCCUCCCCAUCCCCUACCCCUAGAGGCCUCCUGCCCUGGUCACCUACGCGUCACCUAAGCCCCGAGGCCAGGCGGCUUCUUGUCUACUAAAGACUUCCGGAGAGAGGCAUUCACCCUGUGGUCAGAGCUGGGGUUUCCAUGGAGGAGCACCACAGCCAUAAAGAAAGUUAUGGAGGCUGUGAAGUGCAAGGUCAAGAGGCUGCAUCUGGUGAAGACCUUCUUGCUGGUAGGGUCUCUCUACCUGGUCCUGAGGCAGUCCAGGGCAUCACAUGGCUGGUGAGCCCCAGAGCGGAGGACCCUGCCGAGCUGUUUCCAGACUCCUGAUCCACAGAAACCGUGAGAGGAUAACAUUGUUCUGCUUGAAGCCACUACACCUGCCGUCACUUGUCUCGCAUCAUUAGGGAACCAACGUGCUCUGGAAGACAGCAACUCUCAGGGUCCAUUCCGCUGACACCAGCGCCUCAGAUGACACAGGACGUGGCAUGGUGGCUAUUGACUCAUCAAGGGAACAGCAAUGAUCAGAAAUCGCAACUUUUGCGUGGAGAUCCUGGGCCUCCACACUGCUGGCCUCCCAUCGUCCCAAGAAUGACUCCCUGGAAAGAGCCUGUUCAGACCCUUUGUGACUGGACUCUACUAACAGGGUGCCUGCUCGCUCAUCACACAGGUUGGAUAAGAUCGACAGGAAAAACCCCUCCAACAGCACAGCAGAGCAGCACAGAGCCCUGCCUCUCUCCAGCUGGGGAAGUCGGGAGCUGAAGUGGAAAGCUGGUUGAAGAACAAUGUGAAAAAAAUGAGGCCUGACUCAAUUCCUAAAAGCGGCUGCCUGACCUUAUGCAAGCCACAGCUUCUAUUUACAAACCCAGGAAACUGGACAAAAUACUGAAAGGAUCCCCUAAGAUAAUGAGAGUUAACAACAGAUGCAAAGCAAGGUUCUGUGGAAAUGUAAGGUCGUGUUACCACGCAGGGCUGAAAAGCUUUCCUGACUACUUUCUGAUUUGCGUAUACUAAGGACUAUUUCAAGAGGGUGACAUUUUAUGAAUUAAAGGCAUGCCACUUCCAUUCACAGUGCUGUUCUGAGAGAUUCGAUUCUGUCCUUGACAAUCUAAGAAAAUCUUAACUCUGCAUUAUGUAAAUACUAAGGACACGGGGUGUUUCGAAUGAGACCAACCUCGUAUCUCUCUCAACUCCCUCUCCUCCCGGGGCCACCCUUUUCUUUAAUUGAAAGCACAAUAAACUUAAUCAGCUGCUCCUAACGAUGCCUGCCCCAGCCUGGGAGAUUCAGCAAGGCUUGGGGCGUGCAUGACAAAGAAACACACACUCCAGAAUCUCACUUUUGUUAUUCCCCAGCCAUCUUUUGUUAUGUGGCAUGGGAAAAAUCUUAAUGAGCCUGCCCUGCUGCUGCAGAAAUUCUUGUCAGAUGAAAAGCAGCCCCUCCUUCCACCUGGCAAGGGCUUACAGAGAACACAGCAGCCCACAUCUACUCACGUUUCCUGAAACAAUCCCCUAUUUAACUUCCUAGGCAACAGAAAAUCUGAAGAAAAUGAGAUACCACAGAAGAUGAAUUUGAUGUAACAAAAAGGUGUUUUAAAAAGAUAAGUAGAGAGGCCAUCCUACAAAAUUUCAUGGCUGACAAUGGUAAAAAAGAUGCAGAAAAGGACCAUCUGGCCUGAAAAAUUCAGCCGGGGUCGGGGGAGGGGGUCCCGCAGCAGAGGCCAGGCCUUCAAGGAUGGGGAUCCUCUUCUGUCUUCCUUUUCUCAAAAUGUUUGUUGGAUGAUGGACUUAAUUUUAAAACCCCAAGUCACUGCGGUUUAGCCAGCUAUGGAUGAUGAAAGCACUACAAUCAUUGAAACUGACAAGGAGGCAGUUUCCUUCAAAAAUACGAAAACUGUACGCAGAGUACAUGGAGAAAAAUGUGACACAAGCAUUUGGACACACUACUAAACAACAACAUGGGACAAUAUAGACAACAAUUGGAAAUACACUUUGAGGAGGUAAAAAGUUCAGUAUUCACUGGCUUCCUUUUGGAGGUUGUUAAAUUGCUGAAAUUCAAAUAAAAGUCAUUGAGCCAUUGUGUCUGUCAGCUGUGCCUCUAUCUCACCCCCGGGUGGGUGGAGGUCCCCCUGGCUUU
rnacentral:lncRNA from 10 species